UACGUAGGGCGCAAGCGUUAUCCGGAAUUAUUGGGCGUAAAGAGCUCGUAGGCGGUUUGUCGCGUCUGCCCGUGAAAAGUCCGGGGGCUCAACUCCGGAUCUGCGGUGGGUACGGGCAGACUAGAGUGAUGUAGGGGAGACUGGAAUUCCUGGUGUAGCGGUGAAAUGCGCAGAUAUCAGGAGGAACACCGAUGGCGAAGGCAGGGUCUCUGGGCAUUAACUGACGCUGAGGAGCGAAAGCAUGGGGAGCGGACAGG
rnacentral:rRNA from 1 species